rnacentral:siRNA from 1 species
AGGCUACGACAUCUGGACGUGUGA